UACGUAGGUGGCAAGCGUUGUCCGGAUUUACUGGGCGUAAAGAGCGCGCAGGCGGCCCUUCAAGUCGAAUGUGAAAGCCCCCGGCUCAACUGGGGAGGGUCAUUCGAUACUGAUGGGCUCGAAGGCGGGAGAGGGAAGUGGAAUUCCGGGUGUAGUGGUGAAAUGCGUAGAUAUCCGGAGGAACACCAGUGGCGAAGGCGACUUCCUGGCCCGUUCUUGACGCUGAGGCGCGAAAGCUAGGGUAGCAAACGGG
rnacentral:rRNA from 1 species